rnacentral:tRNA from 1 species
GCUCCCAUCGUCUAGCCCGGUCAAGGACGUAGCCCUCUCAAGGCUAAAGCGCGGGUUCAAAUCCCGCUGGGAGCG